UACAGGGGGUGCAAACGUUGCUCGGAAUUAUUGGGCGUAAAGCGCGCGUAGGCGGCUACUUAAGUCGGAUGUGAAAGCCCCUGGCUCAACUGGGGAAGUGCACCCGAAACUGAGUGGCUUGAGUACAAAAGAGGGUCGCGGAAUUCCCGGUGUAGAGGUGAAAUUCGUAGAUAUCGGGAGGAACACCGGUGGCGAAGGCGGCGACCUGGGUUGAUACUGACGCUGAGGCGCGAAAGCCAGGGGAGCGAACGGG
rnacentral:rRNA from 1 species